rnacentral:rRNA from 1 species
AUUGAACGCUGGCGGCAUGCCUUACACAUGCAAGUCGAACGGCAGCACGGGUGCUUGCACCUGGUGGCGAGUGGCGAACGGGUGAGUAAUACAUCGGAACAUGUCCUGUAGUGGGGGAUAGCCCGGCGAAAGCCGGAUUAAUACCGCAUACGAUCUACGGAUGAAAGCGGGGGACCUUCGGGCCUCGCGCUAUAGGGUUGCCGAUGGCUGAUUAGCUAGUUGGUGGGGUAAAGGCCUACCAAGGCGACGAUCAGUAGCUGGUCUGAGAGGACGACCAGCCACACUGGGACUGAGACACGGCCCAGACUCCUACGGGAGGCAGCAGUGGGGAAUUUUGGACAAUGGGCGAAAGCCUGAUCCAGCAAUGCCGCGUGUGUGAAGAAGGCCUUCGGGUUGUAAAGCACUUUUGUCCGGAAAGAAAUCCUUGGCCCUAAUACGGUCGGGGGAUGACGGUACCGGAAGAAUAAGCACCGGCUAACUACGUG